CUAAUACAUGCAAGUCGAGCGGACAGAUGGGAGCUUGCUCCCUGAUGUUAGCGGCGGACGGGUGAGUAACACGUGGGUAACCUGCCUGUAAGACUGGGAUAACUCCGGGAAACCGGGGCUAAUACCGGAUGGUUGUUUGAACCGCAUGGUUCAAACAUAAAAGGUGGCUUCGGCUACCACUUACAGAUGGACCCGCGGCGCAUUAGCUAGUUGGUGAGGUAACGGCUCACCAAGGCAACGAUGCGUAGCCGACCUGAGAGGGUGAUCGGCCACACUGGGACUGAGACACGGCCCAGACUCCUACGGGAGGCAGCAGUAGGGAAUCUUCCGCAAUGGACGAAAGUCUGACGGAGCAACGCCGCGUGAGUGAUGAAGGUUUUCGGAUCGUAAAGCUCUGUUGUUAGGGAAGAACAAGUACCGUUCGAAUAGGGCGGUACCUUGACGGUACCUAACCAGAAAGCCACGGCUAACUACGUGCCAGCAGCGGGGGUU
rnacentral:rRNA from 1 species